GCUGGAGCUCCGCUCUUGCUCUGCGCCUAAGGCCACUGUCCCCCCAGGGUUUUCGAAGGCACCGAUGUCUGAUCAUUACAGGAGUGGAUGGAGCACGCCAAGACUGAAGAGCAGAGGGAAGCCGUUAGCUCCCAGGCCAGUCUGGCUUCACUGUCCGCGGCCUCCCUGAGCCUCUCUGGGAGGCCAGUUUCUACUGGCAACUACAGCACAUCCCCUCCGCCACCCCCACCGCGUGUGCUGGAGACUGCGUGACCGGCCCUGUCCUUCAAAGAUAUCACCUUAUUAAACCCUCGUUAUGAGCACAUUCUAUGGACCUGGAGACAGUCCCAAGGCGAAGUGCUGCAGGCAGAGAGGAGGCCACAAAUCAAAUAAUAUCACCGAAAGAGGUCUCAAAUACUACAGAAACCAAAGUCUCUUCUCCUUCAGGAAGGUCUGCCAGUGUUUC